GGGUCAACAAUCACACCUAAACUUGUCUGGAAGAGAGAUGAUGGCAUAAAAAUGCUCCAUAGGAUUACGCUGAGGCCA